rnacentral:rRNA from 1 species
CAGUCGCCGCGGUAAUACGGAGGGAGCUAGCGUUGUUCGGAAUUACUGGGCGUAAAGCGCGCGUAGGCGGUUACUCAAGUCAGAGGUGAAAGCCCGGGGCUCAACCCCGGAACUGCCGUUGAAACUAGGUGACUAGAAUCUUGGAGAGGUCAGUGGAAUUCCGAGUGUAGAGGUGAAAUUCGUAGAUAUUCGGAAGAACACCAGUGGCGAAGGCGACUGACUGGACAAGUAUUGACGCUGAGGUGCGAAAGCGUGGGGAGCAAACAGGAUUAGAUACCCCUGUAGUCCCUGUCUCUUAUAU